GACGGAGGGUGCAAGCGUUGCUCGGAAUCACUGGGCGUAAAGGGUGCGUAGGCGGUCUCGCAAGUCUGGCGUGAAAGCCCAAGGCUCAGCCUUGGAAGUGCGCUCGAAACGGCGAGGCUGGAGUGCCGGAGGGGAGAGUGGAAUUCCCGGUGUAGCGGUGAAAUGCGUAGAGAUGUGGAGGAACACCGAUGGCGAAGGCAGCCUCCUGGGCCAGCACUGACGCUCAUGCACGAAAGCGUGGGGAGCAAACAGG
rnacentral:rRNA from 1 species